UACGAAGGGGGGCUAGCGUUGCUCGGAAUGACUGGGCGUAAAGGGCGCGUAGGCGGUUUUGUCGCGUCGGCUGUGAAAAACCUGAGGCUCAACCUCAGGCCUGCAGUCGAUACGGGCGGACUUGAGUACUGCAGGGGAGACUGGAAUUCCUGGUGUAGCGGUGAAAUGCGUAGAUAUCGGGGAGGAACACCAGUGGCGAAGGCGAUCACCUGGGGGUUGUUCUGACGCUGAGGGAGCGAAAAGCUAGGGGGAGCAAACGGG
rnacentral:rRNA from 1 species